ensembl:snRNA U6 U6 spliceosomal RNA
GUGCUGGUUUCAACAGCACAUAAACUAAAAUUGUAAUGCUAUAGAGAAGAUUAGCAUGGCUGCUGCACAAGGAUGACAAGCAUAUUUGAAAAAUAAACAACUGUGAG